rnacentral:rRNA from 1 species
CGGACGGGUGAGUAAUGCUUGGGAAUCUAGCUUAUGGAGGGGGGUAACUACGGGAAACUGUAGCUAAUACCGCGUAAUAUCGAAAGAUUAAAGUGUGGGACCUUCGGGCCACAUGCCAUAGGAUGGGCCCAAGUGGGAUUAGGUAGUUGGUGAGGUAAAGGCUCACCAAGCCGACGAUCUCUAGCUGGUCUGAGAGGAUGACCAGCCACACUGGGACUGAGACACGGCCCAG